rnacentral:lncRNA from 1 species
CAGUCUCUAGUGAAUCGCAACAUCCGAGCACCACAGCCCUCACACUCCUCAGUAGACGUCGUAGUAGUUAUCUCCAAUUGUAAUAAAGCCUUUGAGGCAUUGUAUCUCCCCGUGGUGGAGGUAGGCAUAAGGUAGUCUUUUUACCUCUUUGUAAUCCCUUCGAGGUCUCCCGAAAGGGAAACUCGUAUGUAAAUUAUGUUGUUGAAAUGAAGUAGUUUCGUGUUUCAUUUGGUCUAUCUGUUAUGAAUUUAUGAGAUGAGUCUUACGCUAGGGAUCCUAUAGGAGAAACCUGAUACGUCUCCAACGUCUUUAUAAUUUUUGAUUGUUCCAUGCAAUUAUAUUAUCUGUUUUGGAUGUUUCAUAUGCAUCAAUAUGAUAUUUUAUAUUAUUUUUGGGACUAACUUAUUAACCUAGAGCUCAGUGCCAGUUUCUUUUUUUCUUCUUGUUUUUCAGUUUCGCAGAAAAAGAAUAUCAAACGGAUUCCAAACGGAAUGAAACUUCACGAUGAUUUUUCUUGGACCAGAAGACACCCAGGGGACAUGGAGUCCAAGCCAGAAGAGCCACGAGGCGGCCGCAAGGGUGAAGGUGAUACGUCUCCAACGUAUCUAUAAUUUUUGAUUGUUCCAUGCUAUUAUAUUAUCUGUUUUGGAUGUUUUAUAUGCACUAAUAUGCUAUUUUAUAUGAUUUUUGGGACUAACCUAUUAACCUAGAGCCCAGUGCUAGUUUCUGUUUUUUUCCUUGUUUUAGAGUUUCGCAGAAAAGGAAUACCAAACGGAGUCCAAACGGAAUAAAACUUUCGCGAUGAUUUUUCUUGGACCAGAAGACACCCAUGAGACUUGGAGUGCAAGUCAGAGGAGCCUCGAGGCGGCCACAAGGGUGGAGGGCGCGCCCAGGGGGUGGGAGGCGCCCCCAACCUUGUGGGCCCCUCGUAGCUCCUCUGACAUAAUUCUUCCUCCUAUAUAUACUCUUAUACCCCAAAAACAUCCAGGGGAGCCACGAAACCACUUUUCCACCAUCGCAAUCUUCUAUACCCGUGAGAUCCCAUCUUGGGGCCUUUUCCGGCAUCCUACCAGAGGGGGAAUCAAUCACGGAGGGCUUCUACAUUAGCACAUUGCCUCUCCUAUGAAGCGUGAGUAGUUUACUUCAGACCUACGGGUCCAUAGCUAGUAGCUAGAUGGCUUCUUCUCUCUCUUUGAUUCUCAAUAAAAAAGUUCUCCUCGAUGUUCUUGGAGAUCUAUUCGAUGUAAUACUCUUUUGCGGUGUGUUUGCCGAGAUCCGAUGAAUUGUGGAUUUAUGAUCAGCUUAUAUAUGAAUAUUAUUUGAAUCUCCUCUGAAUUCUUAUAUGCAUGAUUU